UUGCCAGCCCGCUCAGAAACUCAAAGGAAUUGACGGGGGCCCGCACAAGCGGAGGAGCAUGUGGUUUAAUUCGAUGAUACGCGAGGAACCUUACCUGGGCUCGAACGUAAGAUGACUGUAGGUGAAAGCUUACAUCUCUUCGGAGCAUUUUACGAGGUGCUGCAUGGUUGUCGUCAGCUCGUGCCGUGAGGUGUCGGGUUAAGUCCCAUAACGAGCGCAACCCCUACCUUUAGUUGCCAUCAGGUUAAGCUGGGGACUCUAAAGGAACUGCCUACGCAAGUAGUGAGGAAGGCGGGGAUGACGUCAAAUCAGCACGGCCCUUACGUCCAGGGCUACACACGUGCUACAAUGGCCGAUACAGAGGGCAGCUACCUGGUGACAGGAUGCAAAUCUACCAAAGUCGGUCUCAGUUCGGAUCGGAGUCUGCAACCCGACUCCGUGAAGUUGGAUUCGCUAGUAAUCGCGCAUCAGCCAUGGCGCGGUGAAUACGUUCCCGGGCCUU
rnacentral:rRNA from 1 species